UACGUAGGGGGGCAAGCGUUUGUCCGGAAUUAUUGGGCGUAAAGAGCUCGUAGGCGGUUUGUCGCGUCUGCCGUGAAAGUCCGGGGCUCAACUCCGGAUCUGCGGUGGGUACGGGCAGACUAGAGUGAUGUAGGGGAGACUGGAAUUCCUGGUGUAGCGGUGAAAUGCGCAGAUAUCAGGAGGAACACCGGUGGCGAAGGCGGGUCUCUGGGCAGUAACUGACGCUGAGGAGCGAAAGCGUGGGGGAGCGAACAGG
rnacentral:rRNA from 1 species